CAGAAUCGUCAUCGCUGCGAAAGUGGCGCGUGGAUUAUGCGCGCGUCCUGUUGUUUGUCUUGUCCUUUAUGUAAUCCCAGGGCUGAACGCUGAGGACUUGAUGGAGAAGGACAGCCAUGCCAAGGACCUUCUUCAGGUUCUCUUUGGCCAUCGUGGUGUGCGGACAGUUGAAUGCUCGACGUCCACUGAUUGCCUUUGAAGAGCUGUACAAGGCCAGCCAGGAACCGACAGAAAAGGUCAACGCGGGCGACGGCAAGAGCAAACCUUCGCCGCUGGGAGCGCCAUGUUAUUUCAAUCGGGAUUGCCCUAUUAACGAAUUCUGCCUCAAGACUGACAAGAGUGCGUUCAACACUGGUGUGUGCACUGUGUUGCCGGAAUACUCCGAAGAAAGCCAGCUAAAUCACAACAGUGACCUCCGCUACCUGGUGAACAGGCCAAUACCGAGAAGGUCCAGGAGUCUUCAGCGACUCCUCGAAAAGUUCGGUGACGAUACGUGCUAAGUAGACUGUUCUUCGACUGUUAUUUUGGUAUCGCUUUGUAGGUGGAAAGAGCAGCAGCGUCAUCCUUCCCGGGGUAAUGUCGACGAGAAGCAACAUCCAAGACGACACCACAACCUCGUCGUUUAAACUGGACGCUACAGGAAAGCUCGAGAGCCACCACCACAGCCAAGGCAGUAACUACAAAAUUUGCGUCGCCAACUCGAGUCAAGGCUACAAGGUGGCUAUGGACACGAAUUAUCCGGGAAAGGUUGCUCCGGAGCCGGGCAGCAGCCAGUCCAGACAGCAGACUCGGGCAACGCCCUCCACCGUUGGAAAUAGUCCCGGGGCUACUUCCCUGGUUGUUCAGGUCGACGAGGGUGACAUGGCCGUUGGGCCACGGAGGGCCAACAUGACUGCUGUAGUGAAAGACGGCGUUACGACGUUGUUGAAAAAAUAAACUCGCAGGAUUGUGCACAAAGA